rnacentral:tRNA from 1 species
GGGGAUGUAGUCUAGUGGUAGAAUUUGGGCUUAGCAUGUGCAAGGCCAUAGGUUUGAUCCCUAGCACCCUCC